rnacentral:lncRNA from 1 species
ACACGACAGUGUUACAGGACUGGCUGUAACCGUGUUAUGUAAUCAGAGCGCUCCAACAAGGAAAUCUGGUAGGAUUCCAUUGGAACGGGUAUUGAGAGCUGAACCAGGCAGGUGGUGGUAAGGGGUUGCCCUAAGAGUCUGUUACACAAUGCGGUGUCAUGGGAAUUCUCAGAGCCAUGGGAACUCUCAGGAAGGCAAAGAGAUAUUCUAACCUGGGAGCACAGGGUCCCCAGGUCCGGUCUAUGCUGACUUGUGAUGCACAGGUGCUAUUUCCAGAACCUAGGAUUACAGUUCACCUGCACCAGCCUCCUGACCAAUCUAUGGAUUUCAAGCUGAUUAUUCCAGUCAAGGAAGCAAGCCAUCUGUUUCUUUCGGGCAGAACUACUGGGCGAGAAAGAGGCUGAAACACACAGCCCAAAAGGAGUGGGCUUGGGUCACAGUGCACCCAGCCAUGCAUCUUCAUUUAAUAUGGCAAAAUGUGGUGUGUUGUGAACAGUUAUGCACUCUUCUUGAAUUUUAGAACAUUCUCUCUUAACUCCCGCCUUUGUGAACACUGCUUACAUUUUUAGAUCGAUGUGAAUGUCUUACUCACCUAACUAAGGGUUUUUUUUUUCCUGCCUACUGUGCCUAUGAAUCAGAAUCCAGUUGGAGAAAUAAAGCUCAAAUUAGAACUGAACAGAUAGAAAAGAUGGUGGUUAUGACGAGGAAUGACAUGGAGAAUUGGGCGUGGGGUAGGGCCAGCCC